AUACGUAGGGUGCAAGCGUUAAUCGGAAUUACUGGGCGUAAAGCGUGCGCAGGCGGUUUUGUAAGACAGUGGUGAAAUCCCCGGGCUCAACCUGGGAACUGCCAUCGUGACUGCAAGGCUGGAGUGCGGCAGAGGGGGGUGGAAUUCCGCGUGGAGCAGGGAAAAGCGUAGAUAUGCGGAGGAACACCGAUGGCGAAGGCAAUCCCCUGGGCCUGCACUGACGCUCAUGCACGAAAGCGUGGGGAGCAAACAGGAUUAGAUACCCUGGUAGUCCACGCCCUAAACGAUGUCAACUGGUUGUUGGGGAUUUAUUUUCUCAGUAACGAAGCUAACGCGUGAAGUUGACCGCCUGGGGAGUACGGCCGCAAGGUUAAAACUCAAAUGAAUUGACGGGG
rnacentral:rRNA from 1 species